rnacentral:rRNA from 1 species
UACGUAGGGGGCAAGCGUUGUCCGGAAUUAUUGGGCGUAAAGAGCGCGUAGGCGGUCCGAUAAGUCGGCUGUGAAAGUCAGGGGCUCAACCCUUGAAAGCCGGCCGAUACUGUCGGACUAGAGUCCGGAAGAGGCAAGUGGAAUUCCCGGUGUAGCGGUGAAAUGCGCAGAUAUCGAGAGGAACACCGGUGGCGAAGGCGGCCUUCUGGACAGUGACUGACGCUGAGACGCGAAAGCGUGGGGAGCAAACAGG